rnacentral:rRNA from 1 species
GACGAACGCUGGCGGCGUGCUUAACACAUGCAAGUCGAACGGAAAGGCCCUUCGGGGUACUCGAGUGGCGAACGGGUGAGUAACACGUGGGUGAUCUGCCCUGCACUUUGGGAUAAGCCUGGGAAACUGGGUCUAAUACCGAAUAUGAUCAUCGGCUUCAUGGUCGGUGGUGGAAAGCUUUUGCGGUGUGGGAUGGGCCCGCGGCCUAUCAGCUUGUUGGUGGGGUAAUGGCCUACCAAGGCGACGACGGGUAGCCGGCCUGAGAGGGUGACCGGCCACACUGGGACUGAGAUACGGCCCAGACUCCUACGGGAGGCAGUAGUGGGGAAUAUUGCACAAUGGGCGCAAGCCUGAUGCAGCGACGCCGCGUGAGGGAUGACGGCCUUCGGGUUGUAAACCUCUUUCAGCACAGACGAAGCGCAAGUGACGGUAUGUGCAGAAGAAGGACCGGCCAACUACGUG